UAGAUAAAAAAUAUUUUGUUUUCCCCUUUCAGCUAUAACAUUGUGAUCUUUGGAAGUAUUGAUGGCUUUUCUCGUAAGAUUAUUUAUCUCGGUGCUGCUUCCAACAAUCUGGCAUCAACAACACUGACAUUCUUCCAAAAAUCAGUCGAGAAGUUUGGUUUUCCUCUCAGGGUUCGUGGCGACCACGGAGGGGAAAAUGUGGAGGUUGCACGGCUGAUGUUUACUGUUCGUGGCACAGGAAGAGGCAGUUUCAUUUCAGGAAAGAGUGUGCACAAUCAAAGAAUAGAGCGACUGUGGAGAGACCUCUGGGUGGAUUUACUACGAUGUUCUUCACAACCUUGAGGAAGAGGGCCUUCUUGACAUUUCAAAUGCUGCACACCACUUUUGCUGCCAUUACGUCUUUCUUCCUCGACUGGAGGAUGAUUUGAAUACAUUUUGCAGUGGAUGGGACAACCAUCCACUGCGAACAGAAAACAACAUGAGUCCCAACCAGCUGUGGGAGUUGGGUCACAGUUAUCACCCUGUUCCUGUUCCAGAAAACACACAGGGCUUCCAGAUUCCAGACAUUGACUAGGGAGGACAGUGGCCUAUCUUGCCAUAACCAUUCAAGCAUUGUUGUUCCGAAC